rnacentral:misc_RNA from 1 species
GUGACUGCGGAGGAUCAUUACCGAACCGUCGACNCUGAGUCGCUGCUGGCCCNUCUGACAGGGGGCAUGUGCACGCUCUGUUUGCACAUCCACUCACACCUGUGCNCCCUCUGUANUUCUGUGGCCUGANGNAUCCCAUCCCUCUGCUGUGGUUCUACGUUUUUAUACACACCCUGUANUAAAGUCUCAUGGAAUGUGUGCCGCGUUUAACGCANUGAAAUACNACUUUCANCNACGGAUCUCUUGGCUCUCNCAUCGAUGAAGAACGCANCGAAAUGCGAUAAGUAAUGUGAAUUGCANAAUUCANUGAAUCAUCGAAUCUUUGAACGCACCUUGCGCCCCUUGGCUAUUCCGAAGGNCAUGCCUGUUUGAGUAUCAUGAACACCCUCNACCCUCGUGGUUUGCCACGAUCGGCUUGGACUUUGGAGGUUUUGCUGGCCCCUGUGGUCCGCUCCUCUCAAAUGAAUCANCUCACCAGUGUUUGGUGGUGUCGCAGGUGUGAUAACUAUCUACGCUUGUGGCCGUCUGCCAUGUAACCUUC